UGAAAACAAUGAAGAGGGCUUCGACAGGACCAUUGAAGAGAAAAAGGAUUUGAUGCUCAACUCUUUGUGGAAGAUUAAUGUGGCCCGUUCUUCUUCAUGGUUGAUAUAGAGUUAACUCUAUCCCAUGUUUGUCAAACAGUUCUCAAGGAUAACACUGGAUGUGCUCAAGUUGCGUGCCAAAGCACUGAAGAAGUUAGGAACUAUUUUCCAAGGUGCCAAAGCUCUUUACCGGAGG